AUGGCAUCAUUUUAUAGUGAAAGCCCCGGCGGUUAGAGAUGGGCAUGCGUGACAUUAGUUUGUUGGUGAGGUAACGGCUCACCAAGACCACGAUGUCUAGGGGGUCUGAGAGGAUGGUCCCCCACACUGGUACUGAGACACGGACCAGACUCCUACGGGAGGCAGCAGUGAGGAAUAUUGGUCAAUGGGCGAAAGCCUGAACCAGCCAUGCCGCGUGAAGGAUGACAGCGCUACGCGUUGUAAACUUCUUCUGUACGGGAAGAAACACUUCUACUUGUAGAAGCUUGACGGUACCGUACGAAUAAGCAUCGGCUAACUCCGUGCCAGCAGCCGCGGUAAUACGGAGGAUGCAAGCGUUAUCCGGAUUUAUUGGGUUUAAAGGGUACGUAGGCGGGAAAUUAGGUCAGUGGUGAGAUCCUGCAGCUCAACUGUAGAACUGUCAUUGAUACUGGUUUCCUUGAAUGUAGUUGAGGUAGGCGGAAUGUGUAAUGUAGCGGUGAAAUGCUUAGAUAUUACACAGAACACCGAUUGCGAAGGCAGCUUACUAAACUACGAUUGACGCUGAGGUACGAAAGCGUGGGGAGCGAACAGGAUUAGAUACCCUGGUAGUCCACGCUGUAAACGAUGAUCACUCGUUGUCGGCGAUAUACUGUCAGCGACUGAGCGAAAGCAUUAAGUGAUCCACCUGGGGAGUACGACCGCAAGGUUGAAACUCAAAGGAAUUGACGGGGGCCCGCACAAGCGGAGGAACAUGUGGUUUAAUUCGAUGAUACGCGAGGAACCCUACCUGGGCUUAAAUGCAGAACGACGGACCGGGAAACUGGUCUUUCUUCGGACGGACUGCAAGGUGCUGCAUGGCUGUCGUCAGCUCGUGCCGUGAGGUGUCGGGUUAAGUCCCAUAACGAGCGCAACCCUCAUCAUUAGUUGCCAGCGGGUAAUGCCGGGGACUCUAAUGAAACUGCCGGUGUAAACCGAGAGGAAGGUGGGGAUGACGUCAAGUCAGCACGGCCCUUAUGUCCAGGGCUACACACGUGUUACAAUGGUCGGUACAAAGGGCAGCUACCUGGCAACAGGAUGCUAAUCUCGAAAACCGAUCUUAGUUCGGAUCGAAGUCUGCAACUCGACUUCGUGAAGCUGGAUUCGCUAGUAAU
rnacentral:rRNA from 1 species